rnacentral:lncRNA from 1 species
GUUUAGAAGGGCGUUAAUCACAAAGGGGACAUGCAAGCUAGGGGAAGCUGGUAAUUGAGCGUGCUGGUGAGGAGAAAGCUGGGCGCCUGAUGUCUCAGGGCCACUAGACCUGCGGCUCACAUGCUUUCCUGGGGCCAGGGACAGUGAGUGAUGGAAGGACAGGGAGAGAGGAGCCACGAUGGGCCUGUGAUAGAAGGAGCCUCUGUCUCCCUGCUGUUGGAGGAACUGGUGUAGGGUCCAGGGUGAGUUCUCUGUCUUCUUGCCUGGCCUGGAUGUCGCUGCUCCUGCUCGCUGAGGCAUGAGGUAGGGGUGUCUUAGAGCAAGGCUUAUGUUAAUUUAGUGAGCACGAGUGCGUGUAUGUGUGUGUGUGUUUGGUGCACGAGCGUGUAUGUGCCAUGUCGCACGAGAGGAGGUUAGAAAUAACUUUUGGAAGUUGUUUUUCUGCUUGCACCGUGUGGGAUACAAGAACUGAACUCUGGUCUGCAGGCUUGGUAGCAAGUGCCUUUAUUGCCUGAGCCAUCUCAGUAGCCCUGGGUUCUUAUUUUUAACAAUGCUCACAGGUUCUGUCACCCACACAGCCACUUCUUUUCCUCUUUUUCAUGGAAGCCGCUGGAGGCUGUGGUUCCUGGGAGCUCAAGUGCAGCCCCAUGGUGAAAUUCAUCUAGCAAGCACUACUGUGAGGUGACGGCUCUGCCAAGAGCAGGGAGGUUGGGACAAUACCGCUGAUUUACGGUUCCAGCG